AACGAACGCUGGCGGCAUGCCUAACACAUGCAAGUCGAACGAGACCUUCGGGUCUAGUGGCGCACGGGUGCGUAACGCGUGGGAAUCUGCCCUUGGGUUCGGAAUAACAGCGAGAAAUUGCUGCUAAUACCGGAUGAUGACGUAAGUCCAAAGAUUUAUCGCCCAAGGAUGAGCCCGCGUAGGAUUAGCUAGUUGGUGAGGUAAAGGCUCACCAAGGCGACGAUCCUUAGCUGGUCUGAGAGGAUGAUCAGCCACACUGGGACUGAGACACGGCCCAGACUCCUACGGGAGGCAGCAGUGGGGAAUAUUGGACAAUGGGCGAAAGCCUGAUCCAGCAAUGCCGCGUGAGUGAUGAAGGCCUUAGGGUUGUAAAGCUCUUUUACCCGGGAUGAUAAUGACAGUACCGGGAGAAUAAGCUCCGGCUAACUCCAUGCCAGCAGCCGCGGUAAU
rnacentral:rRNA from 1 species